ACUAAUACAAAACUGAAUUUAUUACAGAGCACACACAUUUCACUUUUUGGUUGCUUGCUAGAAUUUACUCUAUGGAGAGGUGCCAUUGCAUACGGCAAAAGUUGAGAGCAGCUUGUGAACGGAAUUUACAGAAAUGUUUUUUUGAGGCUGGUAGAUUGUCAUUCAAGAGCUAGGAAAACUUCCAAAACAACUCAUUUUGACAAGAAUGCCGACCAUUGCUGCAAUUACUUCACCCUUGGCUCCCGCACUAACUUUGACGGCCGA